rnacentral:rRNA from 1 species
UACGUAGGGUGCGAGCGUUAAUCGGAAUUACUGGGCGUAAAGCGUGCGCAGGCGGCGGCUCAAGUCAGGUGUGAAAUCCCCGGGCUUAACCCGGAAAGGUCAGCCGAUACUGCGGGCUAGAGUGCAGAAGGGGCAACUGGAAUUCUCGGUGUAGCGGUGAAAUGCGUAGAUAUCGAGAGGAACACCUGCGGCGAAGGCGGGUUGCUGGGCUGACACUGACGCUGAGGAGCGAAAGCGUGGGGAGCGAACAGG